rnacentral:rRNA from 1 species
UACAGAGGGUGCGAGCGUUAAUCGGAGUUACUGGGCGUAAAGGGCGCGUAGGCGGUCAUUUAAGUUAGAUGUGAAAUCCCUGGGCUUAACCUAGGAAUGGCAUGUAAGACUGGGUGACUGGAGUACAGUAGAGGGUGGCGGAAUUUCCGGUGUAGCGGUGAAAUGCGUAGAGAUCGGAAGGAACACCAGUGGCGAAGGCGGCCACCUGGACUGAUACUGACGCUGAGGCGCGAGAGCGUGGGUAGCAAACAGG